GAAGGAAAUUAUAUAAUGAAACAGCACAAAACGAAGUUUACGACAAGGAUGGAAGGAGCAAAGGCAUGGGAAAACAGAAAAAAGAAGGAAGGGUUUUCAGAUAAUGAAACAGUACAAAAGAAGACGAAGAAGAAGACGAGGAAGGAUGGGACAAAGAAAUGAAAAAACGGAAAAAGGAAAGAAGGCAUCCGUUGAUUGAGGCUGCCGAGGCCAGCAAGAUGGCUGCUGCUGAGGCUGAAUCGUAUCAAAUCACGGUCAAAGCCAAUCGAUCAUUCGCGAACAGAAACGGGGAGGUUACGCGUUCAAAAGUGGCAAUUGAAAAUAGAGAUCCUAAAUUGGCACAAUUGCCUCAUGUAAAAAUAAACCGUCUGCCGUCAUCUAUCGCUCACCAGGAAAAAAGAACAGAAACAGGAAGAGGAGCAGGAAGAGGAACAAGAAGAGGAACAGGAAGAGGAUCUGGAACAGGUUCAGGAAUAGGUUCAGGAACAGGAACACGUACAGGAAGAGGAACAGGAAAAAAAAAGGAAACGGGAACGGGACAAGUAGGAAAACCAUGAAAAGAAGAAAAACGUUUGUUAAAGCAGUAAAAUUAACAUUGCGCGUACUCUUUGUGUGUGUUUAAACAAUAACUGGCAUUAACCUAGUCCUUAUUUUGAUAUUAAUCCGGCCAGGCAAAAGGAAUCCAACGAAUUCAGAAGCAGAAGAUUUUUUAAACUUUUGAUUUUAAAAAAUAAAAUAAUACGUCUUCUUCGGCAGUAUUCUGGGCUGACCGACGGACGAAUUAUUUUUAAUUCUGGACUUAUCGACAAAUAUAUUUAUUCUUAAGAGA